AGCAGUCUACAGCGUACUUCCAAAGCACUGCAACCUUACUACGACAUGCUAUUGCCUUUAAGUAUAAACACGUCAGCUCACGUUAAAUAAAUCUACGUUCACGUGCUAAACACGAGAUGCCGCGCCGGCCUGCGCCGCACACUGACCCAGUUUCCCAGCGGCCCAGGAAGACCAGAAAUAAAUAAAUCCCCCGGCCCGUGGGUUCGGGGAGGCCGACGAGAGCCGACGACCCCGACUGUCUGGCGUGAUUAAGGGCCGUGUCACAGCUCGCUGGGGACGGGCACCCUCCCGGCGGGCUCUACGUGACUGGAUGCCGGAAUCAGGCGAGCCGAGCGCGGAGCCUUCCCCAGGAGCGCGCCGCCCCGCCAGCUCCUACUCCAAAAAGAUGGCAAGAAAAAGCCUCUAGCCACACAGCAAAAGUGAUCUGCAAAGGCAACACACCAGAAAGGUUUCUCCACACCUACAAACCAAACUCCUGUCAGAGGUUAUACUCCACAAGCAGCUCUAGCCAGGUGAUCUCCAUCCCAGUAUUUUCAACUGAAAGAUGACAGUGAGCUGCUACUAUAGCAGUUCUUCCUCAAGUUAAAGCCAAGACAGGUCCAUCUGUAUCAGGAAAAUACCAGAAGAAACACAAAGAGAAAAUGCACUUCUAUAUUGACAGAUAUUAUCAGGUUGUUAGUCCUAGCCACAUUUCACUGUUCAUGUUUCAGCCACCCACCAAAUUUAUUCUUUGUUUUACAGCAUGUAAGCGAUAGCAACAGAGCCACCUCCAUGAACAGCAUCAUCAUAACCCUUCGCAGCACUCAGCGUAACACAGCAAAGCCAUCCCAUUACUACUGAACAAGAACCUUCCUGGCCUGGGAAGGGGUCACAUUUCAGAGGACGAUGGGUGAAAACAAUAGCCUUUCUUCUAUCCCUCUUUCCCCAGAUUCCCAAAGUCUCUGUUGCCAAGCCACCUUAUUCUCAUGACAGAUACUCCUGAAGGACUUUACACCACACUGGACUCUGCAGUGUGAUGUGGUCCUUCCCCUAGAAACCCUUCCCUGCCCCCCUGCUUUCCUCCUCUCCUUCAGGGCUUGGGAUGUCCCUGUGCUCUGGGCAGGUAUCAGAGCUGCUUCAUCAGCCAAAGAGGAGUUGCAGGGCAGAGCAGACCCAGGGUAGUUAGUCAGCAGAAGCAGGGAGCUUUGCAGUACAGUCAGGUCCAGGGAAGUUAGUUCCAGCCAGCUACACGCACUGGAAGGCACUGAGCCCUACCAUGCUACUGUUUUAAAUAUUGUUAAAAGAUAUUUCAAUUUGUUUUCCUAGACGCCUUAGAAGUUAUUUGGAUAACUUGCAGUGAUCUUAUUUAGCCCAGGUUAAAUAUGAGUACUAAAAGCAUGAUGUAACUCUUUAAGAACUGCAGGGGGAUUUUUAAAGGGGCAGAACAGUUGAUCAACUAACUCAAUGUUAAUAAAAGUGACACCUAACUAUAUAGUCCUUUGGUAAAUCUCUACUUUCACCAUCAGUAAAGUGUAAACCUAAGCUUUACCUGGUUAUAGGAAAUGAAACUUCCUCCUGAGUGGGACAAGCUAUGGAACAACACUGGGUCCUAUGAAGUGAUCAGUGAGAGAUGACAAAGGACUGAAGUUGCAGGGCUUUGGAUUGAAAGGGAUAAAAAGAACAGGAGGGGGCAAAGCAGAAAAUUCUCAAUGGUUUAAGAUGCUGCUGCAGAGAGCAUCCUUCAUUGCUGUGGUGGGCAGGGCAAGCUUCAAUUACAGCAGAAAAGAUGCAGGUCAGAAAAGCUUUGUGCAGGAGGAAGGCUAGUGAGUGCUGGAGCUGCCUGCCUAGGGCAGGCAGGGACCCUCCUGCUCUGUGGGUGUCCAGGGAGGAUCAGACACAUACUGCCUUGAGACAAAGAACCACCGCCUCUUGAGCUGUCCUCCAGAUAUUUUUUUUUUAAUGAUUUGCAUGACACACCUGUGCCCAGGAAUGCCACUCUCUCUGGACAGUGUGAUGCAGCAGUUGCACAGACUACCAUGCAGUAAAGGCAAGAGGCCCCUGCGAUGCAUACCACCGCUCUCCAAAACACCAUGCUCAGCGAGGAGAGGACGUGACCGAACAGGGAAAGCAGAUGCUCUUUCGCUCAGCAGCGGUAUCAGUCAAUUCACUGUGCAAUAAAGGGUCCAAAUGCUUUUCUUAUGCCUUGUUGACUCCCCCAGUUGCUUAUGGGAUUACAUUAAAGCAGCCUGUUCAGACAUGCUGUGCUGAUAUCCCACAAUAACUGUCUCCCUAUGCUUGCUGUACAGUUCAAGUCAGAACAACUUACUAAUGACUUUUUAACUCCAAUUAGGUGAAUAGUCAAAAUAAAUCCCUCUUGGCUUGUUCUGCUAAAAGACUUAAACUUGUUCAAUUUUAUACAAGAACAGCUUUACUGAGUUCAGAGUUACAAGCUAAACAGACCAAACUCUUUGCAAAACUGGGGCUUUAGAAAAAAAAAAAUCUCCCCUCUCCCCCAGCCUGACAGUGAAGGGCUCUUUUCAGUCACUGCAGUCACCCAUAGCAAGCAUUUCCACUGAAACCCUUGGUAAGCAUGGUAGUUUGAUAUAGAGAAUUGACUACAGUAAUAUAAAAGCAAACAGCCUGAAAGCAUGCCCACUGAGUUGUUUAAACAUUAUGAAAACUAGACAAAUGACUCAUUUUUGAUGCAAUUUGACAUUUUGCCUUUGAAAUUUCAAAUUUUUCAGCCUGUUUGGAAGACUCAUUCAAAAGUGAGAGUGCACAAUUUGGAUUUUUUCCAGUGGCAUCUUACAUGAUGUAUAAGAAAGCACUUGUGUAUUAUUUUAAAGACAUUUCAGCCUACUGGUUUUCCUCACAUAUACCUCUAUGAAAAU